rnacentral:misc_RNA from 1 species
AAAUGCGAUAAGUAAUGUGAAUUGCAGAAUUCAGUGAAUCAUCGAAUCUUUGAACGCACCUUGCGCUCCUUGGUAUUCCUUGGAGCAUGCCUGUUUGAGUAUCAUGAAAUCUUCAAAGUAAAUCUUUUGUUGACUCAAUUGGUUUCUACUUUGGUAUUGGAGGUCUUUGCAGCUUCACACCUGCUCCUCUUUGUUCAUUAGCUGGAUCUCAGUGUUAUGCUUGGUUCCACUCGGCGUGAUAAGUUAUCUAUCGCUGAGGACACUGUAAAAGGUGGCCAAGGUAAAUGCAGAUGAACCGCUUCUAAUAGUCCAUUGACUUGGACAAUACUUUUAUGAUCUGAUCUCAAAUCAGGUAGGACUACCCGCUGAACUUAAGC